rnacentral:rRNA from 1 species
AGAGUUUGAUCAUGGCUCAGAUUGAACGCUGGCGGCAUGCCUUACACAUGCAAGUCGAACGGUAACAGGUCUUCGGAUGCUGACGAGUGGCGAACGGGUGAGUAAUACAUCGGAACGUGCCCGAUCGUGGGGGAUAACGAGGCGAAAGCUUUGCUAAUACCGCAUACGAUCUACGGAUGAAAGCGGGGGAUCUUCGGACCUCGCGCGGACGGAGCGGCCGAUGGCAGAUUAGGUAGUUGGUGGGAUAAAAGCUUACCAAGCCGACGAUCUGUAGCUGGUCUGAGAGGAUGAUCAGCCACACUGGGACUGAGACACGGCCCAGACUCCUACGGGAGGCAGCAGUGGGGAAUUUUGGACAAUGGGCGAAAGCCUGAUCCAGCCAUGCCGCGUGCAGGAUGAAGGCCUUCGGGUUGUAAACUGCUUUUGUACGGAACGAAAAGCCUCUUUCUAAUAAAGAGGGGUCAUGACGGUACCGUAAGAAUAAGCACCGGCUAACUACGUGCCAGCAGCCGCGGUAAUACGUAGGGUGCAAGCGUUAAUCGGAAUUACUGGGCGUAAAGCGUGCGCAGGCGGUUUUGUAAGACAGAGGUGAAAUCCCCGGGCUCAACCUGGGAACUGCCUUUGUGACUGCAAGGCUGGAGUGCGGCAGAGGGGGAUGGAAUUCCGCGUGUAGCAGUGAAAUGCGUAGAUAUGCGGAGGAACACCGAUGGCGAAGGCAAUCCCCUGGGCCUGCACUGACGCUCAUGCACGAAAGCGUGGGGAGCAAACAGGAUUAGAUACCCCGGUAGUCC